rnacentral:lncRNA from 1 species
GGCCAGAUAAGUGAGAUCGGUGAGAGGGUUUGCCUCGGCUUGCAUUAGACACCAUCAAAAUGACUAUGUAAGUAGACUACCAAUUAAAAAUCAUCGAUCAUAUUGCUAAGGUAUUGCCAGACUUAUCUUAGACACCAAUUGAUCGAUUAGUUUUGAUUCAGUCAACUAAAAGACUCAGGCUAAACCAUUUAGUUAUGAUCCGGUCUAU